GGAACGAACACUUUGUUUAGAAACAAUGGUACUCAUAUGACAAGAAAUGUUAUGCUUUUGUUACCAGGAGAACCGUCAUUGAUGUGGGUUCAGGACCGCCACUAAAGAAGUUACGGUAUAGAAGAAAGCAACACCAAUCAUUACUGGAGAUGGCACAUCAAAAUUUGGGGGAAAUGGUUAUGCAAGUAGAAUACACAAAAGAAGUUAUGAUUUAAUAUAGAAGAGAAAAAAGUGGCUAUGAAGUAGAAAACGCCACAAAAAAGUUAUGACCAUGUCGAAAAAACUGAAGUUUUUUUUGCGAGAGAACUUCCGAUCUUUUCGUCUUCAAUCAUGACAGUACAACAAACACCAAAAAAAUUACAUCCAAAUUUACAGACCACCUAACAACGACUACAAGUAGUGAAGUGAGCCGAAGGCGAGCCACCGUCAUUGCCCCUUCCUCGCCGAAACCGGGCAAAAUGUAUUGUAGUAGACAG
rnacentral:lncRNA from 1 species